ACUCCACUCUGGUCGGUUCAUCUGCCUCAUCUAUCCCUGAGCUCGGUCCCAUGUGAAUCCCUGCCACAGGCAGUGUCCUAAAGGCCAUUUCCUUAAGGCUGUCUUCGGCCUUCCCUUCCCUAACUGAGCCGAUCUUCAUCUACCAAGAGUAACAAAACUACGACCCCUCAGUCUUCUUAGGGGAGGCGCAGUGAAGCCGGACGUCUGUAAGUCCGCCCAGCCGCCCAGGAAGCCAAAGAGGAUGUAGCGUCACCACGGCCGGCUUUCUAGCUGUCAAUCUCCGCGAGCGAGGACUUCCGGGCUGUGAGGUCCGCACGGGUAAUACGGACUCCUCUCGACAGAGGUCCUGAGGUGGACCGGAUCGUGGAAGGACUCAAGUAACCGGAUUCGCCAGCAUCGCAGCUCGCCCAGCCCGGUUGGCGCGAAGAGCGAGGAAAUGAUAUGUUGGAUACACGUUAAACGGUGUCUCCGAGUGUUCUCCCGCCUCAUGGACCUGGCAACUGCCACAUGUACGGGUAGUCUUCUUUCUAGUGCCCUGCUCUGUCUGGAGGAAAAGGCAGAGAGAAUGGGGGCCCACUGUCUAGGAUAUGUCUAUCAGGAUGUGAGGUCAUCAAACCCAGUCUGAUCUCCUGGCUGGAGAAAGAUUUACAGACAGUGGGCAGAGGUUUCCAGGAUCUACUCUACAGACUGGCAACAACCAGACUGCAUUGAUGAGUCAAGCAACAGUGAGACUGACAAUAAACCUUCUUUGAGAUUUGUC